AGUGAACGCUGGCGGUAGGCCUAACACAUGCAAGUCGAACGGCAGCACAGUAAGAGCUUGCUCUUACGGGUGGCGAGUGGCGGACGGGUGAGGAAUACAUCGGAAUCUACUUUUUCGUGGGGGAUAACGUAGGGAAACUUAUGCUAAUACCGCAUACGACCUACGGGUGAAAGCAGGGGAUCUUCGGACCUUGCGCGAUUGAAUGAGCCGAUGUCGGAUUAGCUAGUUGGCGGGGUAAAGGCCCACCAAGGCGACGAUCCGUAGCUGGUCUGAGAGGAUGAUCAGCCACACUGGAACUGAGACACGGUCCAGACUCCUACGGGAGGCAGCAGUGGGGAAUAUUCGACAAUGGGCGCAAGCCUGAUCCAGCCAUACCGCGUGGGUGAAGAAGGCCUUCGGGUUGUAAAGCCCUUUUGUUGGGAAAGAAAAGCAGCAGGUUAAUACCCCGCUGUUCUGACGGUACCCAAAGAAUAAGCACCGGCUAACUUCGUG
rnacentral:rRNA from 1 species